GCAAGUCGAACGGUAACAUUAGUUCUUGCACUUGAAGACUCGUGGCGCACGGGUGCGUAACGCGUAUGCAACUUACCCUAAACUGAAGAAUAGCACUUAGAAAUGAAGAAUAAUACUCCAUAGUAUUCCGAAAAGGCAUCGUCUUGGUCUUAAAGCAUCCGCGGUUUAGGAUAGGCAUGCGUUCUAUUAGUUAGUUGGUAAGGUAACGGCUUACCAAGACGACGAUAGAUAGGGGGCCUGAGAGGGUUGUC
rnacentral:rRNA from 1 species